rnacentral:rRNA from 1 species
CGGCGGACGGGUGAGUAACACGUGGGUAACCUACCUAUAAGACUGGGAUAACUUCGGGAAACCGGAGCUAAUACCGGAUAAUAUAUUGAACCGCAUGGUUCAAUAGUGAAAGACGGUUUUGCUGUCACUUAUAGAUGGAUCCGCGCCGCAUUAGCUAGUUGGUAAGGUAACGGCUUACCAAGGCAACGAUGCGUAGCCGACCUGAGAGGGUGAUCGGCCACACUGGAACUGAGACACGGUCCAG